rnacentral:rRNA from 1 species
AUUGAACGCUGGCGGCAGGCCUAACACAUGCAAGUCGAACGGUAACAGGAAGAAGCUUGCUUCUUUGCUGACGAGUGGCGGACGGGUGAGUAAUGUCUGGGAAACUGCCUGAUGGAGGGGGAUAACUACUGGAAACGGUAGCUAAUACCGCAUAACGUCGCAAGACCAAAGAGGGGGACCUUCGGGCCUCUUGCCAUCGGAUGUGCCCAGAUGGGAUUAGCUAGUAGGUGGGGUAACGGCUCACCUAGGCGACGAUCCCUAGCCGGUCUGAGAGGAUGACCAGCCACACUGUAACUGAGACACGGUCCAGACUCCUACGGGAGGCAGCAGUGGGGAAUAUUGCACAAUGGGCGCAAGCCUGAUGCAGCCAUGCCGCGUGUAUGAAGAAGGCCUUCGGGUUGUAAAGUACUUUCAGCGGGGAGGAAGGGAGUAAAGUUAAUACCUUUACUCAUUGACGUUACCCGCAGAAGAAGCACCGGCUAACUCCGUG